AAGAGAGAGUGGGUGAAGCGGGCUAAGUACAGAGGCCGGUGCCCACAGCCCCACGGUUCCCAGCCAAGGCCCCACCAAGUGGCUGCCCAGCGCUGGGGCAGCCUGCCCCAGGUGCCCUGACAGGUGGCUGACGUCCCACCUGCAGGUGAUCUCGGGGGCGGAACCAGGCCGGAGGAGGGGCUUGGGCCAGCUCAUCUCAGGUGGCCAGCCACGCUGGAGCUGGGGCCCUCGGUGUGUGGUGGCCCUGGGAGAGCCACACCCCACUCCAGGUUUGAGGCUUCUACAGACCAGGAGGGGGCAGUGCCCUGAGGCAGUGGUGCCAUGCUCCCGCCUCCAUAAGCAUCCCCCAGGGGGUGUUCAGACAGACUGCAGCCUCUCCCCCCAGUUCUGAUUCAGCAGGUCAGGCUGGGACCCAGAACCUGCAUUGCCAACAUGUUCCCAGGUGGGGCUGCUGCUGGUCCGGGCCCCAGACGCCAUAGUUCUAGGAGUCUCUUCCACUUUCCGAUGCUAACAGGCUUCCCUGGGCUGGGGCAGGAGAGCGGGCAGUGUAUGCCCAGGGAAAGCCCGGCAGGCAGGCCACCUAGGGCGGCAAAACCUCCAUUUUCACCAUCUUCUGCCCCGGUGAUUCAUAGGACAGCCAAGACAGAGGUGGCGUUGACUUCAGGAUGGCUGAGGCCUGGCCACGCUGAGCACGGCCACCAGCAGGCAGAGGAAGCGUUGAUUUCGGGAUGGCCGAGGCCUGGGCACGCUGAGCGCCGCCCACUGGCAGGUGGUAAUGCCAGGACACUUGAUUAAUCAGAACCUGCAGCUGAACAAGCUUCUCGCGUGGUCUGAGGCUCCCUGAAGUCUGAGCAGCUCUGCCCAGGGCCAGCUGUGUGCGGGGAGGGUGGGAAAAUGCUCAAGGCGCUGGUGGGCAGGACUGGUGGUCACUGAGCCCCUCUGCACUAUCCAGAGAGCAGGGCCUGCAGAAAAGGCUUCCAGGUUAACUGAAGGGCCUGCAGCACAGACCUGCCCGAGACACCAGGAGGCCAAGCCAGCACCCUGUCUGCAGCAUUUUCUGCAGGGGGUGCGGGUGUAAGCCACUGGGCCUCCCCAUUCAUCUUAAGUCAAGGUCAGCCAGUGCCAAGGCAAGGCAGAAAGACCUGGGAUCCGUGGCUGAGAUUUCAGGGGCCUCAGCGGCUUAGAGCAGCAAGGAGGGCAUCCUCUACCUGCUAAAACCUGGACUGCCCUGCAGCCUCCUCCUGCUAACACUUGUGGGUCUUGCCCACGGCCCGGGGCAUGAAGCAGGUGAGGCCACAGUUGGGGGCUGGUGUCUGUCAUUUUAUUAGUGAACCGUGGGCGCUACCCCUGCUUCUGCCCGUUCCCCAUUCCCGGGGUCCCAGCCCCACUGUCAGACGGAGAGAUCCAGCCGGGGCCAGGGCCACGCGGUCUCUGGAAGAUGACGGAUAAAUGACUUCUGCAGUUAUCACGUGCCAAAUACAGUGCCAACCUCGCCUGAUCCUCUCGCCGCCUGCCCCUUUCACAGAAGAGCAGAGAAGUUCAGAGGUGCUGAGGUCCUGCCCAACAUCUCAGGGCCGCGGCGCCUGGGCUCUAACCAGCCCCUGGUGCUCCAGGCAGGAGUGGAGCAGCCCCCUGUCUGCUGUGGGGAAUGGUGGGGGAGGAAGCAGCCAGUAAACAGCCACCCAGGCCUCUCGGCACCUGCUGUCCCCUCCGCACAGCCGCUGGCCUCCCUCCCGCAGGGCGCCCUGCCCCUCCUGGCCACCCGCCUGUCAGGAGGCUGAUGGCUGGGCACACGUGCGGCCACAGCUGUGGGGGCCGUCAACACCGCCUGGCUGCAGGGCCGGUGGCCAGUCCCUGGUGACAUCCAAAGAAGGCGAACGUGGCGCGGCAUCCUGUGGGGUGCAGCCCAUCCAGACCAGGCUGCCCUUGGGCCAGCGUGGGUUGGGCACACCCAGAAGGGAGCAGGCAGGGAUGGGGCCAAGAGCUUCAAACGCCAGGCUGGCUCUGGGGACACGGGUCCAGGACACUGGGGACGCCCUGUCUGGACUUUCCAAAGCCCUCCCACGGAGGCGGCUACAUUUGAGCCACGAUACUCGAAUAAAACAGAAAUGGAUGCAGAGAGCCCCACUGAGGAGCUGGCGCCGGGCGCCGGGCGCUGGACGGGCACUCAUACGAUGGACGGACAUGCCACAUUUCCUAAGGUGGAGAGGGUGGCCAGGAGACCUCUGGGCCAUCAUGCCACGGCGCAAGGAGUUGCCACAGCCAUCAUCCAACAAGGGCUUAUGGCCACCACCUGCGUGCUCGCGACACUCUGGAUCCCGAAGCCAGAACAGACAGUACCCUGCCGGCACCCGGAGCAGUCGGGGACUUCGUGUGGUUCCCUUUGGGCAGAACAGGGGCCUGUCCUUUUACUUCAGAGACUUGGAUAGCGACUCACUGCAGGGAGCCCCUUCUCAGUGCUCUACAGAUACUGAUGAGUCAUUCAUCCUCACGGAGACCCUCUGCGGCCGAUGCUACCAUCAGCCCAUUUUACCAGGAGGGACCAGGCUCGGAGAGGUGAAGUCAUCUACCCAAGGUCACACGGCGAGUGUGCCGCGUGCCGGGAUCUGAGCCACAACCUGGUGUUGCCCCCACAGGGCCAGGGCUCUUCAGGACUCCAAAGUUCCUGCUUGUCAUCAACAUGCUCGCCUCCUUUUAGGGCCCGGGGUACUGAAAACAGGCAGCAGGUCUGGGAUUCAAACCUGAGGUCGAACGGAGGCUGCAGGGGCAGGAGGCCCCGUGCCUGAGGAACACGCUGGGGAGCUGGUGGUGUCCUCCCCGCCGUUCUCCAGCUCCACCCUGGGUUGUGCAGGGGCAGCUGUGCAGAUGACGGGACCUCACGGGUGUCUGUUGAAUCCUGUUUGAGUGCUCCUGGCCGUGUGGCCUAGGGAGAGCCUCUUCCCCUCUCUGAGCCCCACUCUCCUCCUCUGUACAUGUGGAGGAAGCCAGGUGACAGAUGAGGAAGGGGAGGUCCCCACGCCCUGCCUGGCACUCAAGAAAACCAGGCCACGGUUCAUGGAGCAACUUGUGGCCGGGACCUGCUCCUGGGGCUGCCCUGGCGCAGACUCCACCCGAGAAAGCAGGAAGUGACAAGGACCCUCAGAGAAGAUGAGGGGGUCUGGGCAUGCAGGAGCUGGUCAAAGAUGCCUAAAGGAAGAAGACAGGGAGAGGGUGCCGGCUCCUCCCCCAGCCCUGGCUGCAGCCUCAUCUGCCUCCCAAGCUCCCACUCAUCGAGAAAAUUCCCAGACCUACUGGACGUGGUGACUCACACCUGUCAUCCCAGCACUCGGGGAGGCCGAGAAUCACAUGGGUCCCACAGCUUCCUCUGGGAAAAGCACAGAUGUGCAAAGAGGAGACCCUGAGAGUCAUCCGUCCACGGCCGCCCUCCGACCUCCUCACGGUACUGGAGAUGGACGACCCCGCACCCAUGCUGUCCCCGAGAGGUGAGGUCACCUGAGGUCACUGGCCACGGCCAUGCAGCUAGUGAGAGGUAGGGCCGGGAAUGGAGCCCCAGCCUCUGAAUUCCAGCCUCUACUUGGCCGGGCAGCCAUCCAGUGCAGUGAGCCCAGGCCAAGGUAAACUCGUACACUUGGCUUUCUGGAGAGCCAGAGGGGCAAGCCACCGUCCACCACACAUUUCCCAAGAGCAGUACACGGUGGCUCCCCGGCCCCUUGGCCAGUGCCAGAGUGGCCCGGCUGUUCCUCGCUUGGUGCCUGGCUGUCCCCUCCGGCCUCACCAGCUGUCCCCUCUGGCCUCACCACCCGCACUACCCCCACGCCCACCUGUGCUGGGCCUAGGUCACUGGCUGCACCUGCCCCAGGGCCUUUGCAUGGCGGUGUCUCUGCAGGGAAUGCACUUCCCCCAGGUCCCCGCAAGUCUGCCUCUUAUCCUCACGCCUUUGCCCCAGGCUGCCUGCUUCCCGGUGAUGCUGCAGCCCACGCAGUCCUUGCCCUGGCUCCCCUCCUGUCACCAUCUCUCCCUGUAGCUCUUCCGGUGAGCCCACCUGCCUGUCCUGCUCCUUUUUUUCUCUUGUGGAUGCUCCCGGUGAGCUCCAGGAGGGCAGAGCUUCCUCGGCAUUGGUCACAGCCUACACCAGUGUCACACUGCAGGCACUCCGCAAACACUUGCUGCGUGGUGACCAAGAAAACCCGGAAAGGCACAGCCCACUGAGGACCGGACAGUCCCAGCCUCAGUGUCCUCCGGAGCCGCCGUUAUCCAAAGGCCUGGGGACGGGCAAUGCCCUCCCACCUCAGGAACAGCUGUGGGGAACAGAGCUGGCUUUUCUGUCUCCUGAUCUGGCCUCAGUUCUCUCAUCUGUGAAAUGGGAAUAGGGAUGGAAUUCACCCCGCAGAAUCACGGAGGGACGAAGUGCAUGAGCUCAUGAAAAGCGUCUAGAACAGAGUGCCUGCCACUCGUCCCAGCCACCCAGCUGUCAUGCUUCAGGCCGUCUGUCCGGCCACAACGGCCUCGUGGAGCUGGCCCAGGUGGGGCUUGCCUUUGGCACUGUGCCCACAGCUGGCCUGGGUGACAGUGAGCAUCAGUGCUGGGGAAGGGGACCAACCGGAGAGGCUCUGGGGCACAGUGAAGACCCCCUCCCCCCUCACAGCCGUGUGGAGGAAGCUUUGUUGCCCAGAGUUGGCUGGCAGCACCCGGACUGCCUGCCGGCUGCCAUCACCACCAUGAACGGCUGGCCUGGGUGCAGAGGUCCCUUCUGUCACAGAUGUGCUGCUAAACCGUAUCAGACAAAAAUCUCACUGAAACUCCCCUCCAGACCCCAGCCCAGGGCUCUCCGUUGAAAGGGAGGGCACAGGCCGGCCUCUGUCUGCAGGCUGGGCCCACCCACGCCUUCUGCACCCUCUGUGUGGCUCCAGGUGGACCUGGCCUUGCCUCUUCCUUUCCCAAGGAGAGAAGGAGCCUCCCUCAUGGGUUUUUGAGGACCAAGGAGCCUCCCUGGAUAGCUGCACGCUGCAAGUGAACUCAGGGUUUGCCAAAGAAAUGCGGAAGGUGGGACAAAGUGUGCUGGGUGUCCUGGGGCCAGAUGGGGACAGGUGGGCUGGGGGUCUCUCCGCCAGUCUUGGCCAGCCAUGCCAUCUGCGCUUCCGUCCCUCCCGCCGGCCUCAGGGCCUUGACUCUGGCUGGAAUUCUUCCCCGAUCUCUGCAUAGCCGUCUCCUCAUCAUUCAGGUCCUGGCGCAAAUGUCCCUCCUCAGAGAAGCCUUCCCUGACCGCCCCCACAUCCCCGCCUCCGCACUCUCUGCCACGUCACCCAUUUUUCUUCUUCAGCCACUCAUCAGUGUCUGAAGCCUCCAUCUGUGUUGGUCCUCAUGUUUACGCCCGUCUCCCCCAGGGCAGGGCCCUGAAUAGCACCUGGCACAUGGCAGGGCCCCGUAAAGGUUUGCUGACUGGCCCAUAAGGGCAAAGCCCCCAUGUGCCUCCCCUGGCGGCCCCGUCCUCUGCAGGUUCAACAGGGUGGCUCGCUGCUGCAGGACAGAGCCUGGGCUGCGCUUGAAUCGAGGCCUGCCCCCUCCGCCGUGUGAGCCCAGCAGGCAGCUCCCCUCAUCCAUUAAGUGGGAGAGCACCCCUCCCGGGGGGGUGUCUGAGGACUAAGGAGCUACUUGAGUCUGUUCUGCAGCAGGAGCUCAGGGAAUGCUGGUCAUGGCUAUUCAGGGCCCUCUCCACAAGGCGGGUUUCCUGCUAACGGCCUCGAUUUCCCACCCUGCCAAACCCCUAUCCUUUUGAUGUGAUUGCAGCUCUUCCUGUGGAGAGGUGGGGUCCACUUCCCUGCCCCCUGGAUGUGGGCUGGCUGGGGGACUUGCUUUGGCUGGGGGCAGGAUGUGGCACAAGGGAUGUCAGACACCCUGAGCCUGGAUGUCAGCGGCGGGCAGCCCCACUAGCCCUCUGUGGAGCCCCCACGUGAACACGCUCAGGAUGAGACACACGCAGGACAGGGUUGGCCCAGCUACUUGGUGGAGCUGGACUGACCCAUGGCUGACCACAGAGCAGCCAACAGCAAACCCAGCCAUGCCGAGAAGCACCACCCCACUGAGCUUGCCAAAACUGCCAACCUAAAGAACUGUGAGCCAAAGAAUGGUGGUUGCUUUGAGGGUAGCUUGUUACACGGCGAUAGCUGACUGAUACACAUGAGUACUUAGAAUCUCAACAUAUCAGAGCUGCAAAGGACCUGAGAGACCAACACUGAAAUUUCACAGAUGGUGAUGGGGACACUGGGAAGCUGGAGAAGAGAAGUGACCCAUCUCAUCUCUAGCCAAACCAGGCCUCAGACGCCAAUGCUGCGCUUGCCCUCCGCUACUCCGCACUCAUUCCUCCAUGGUGGGGUCUCAACUGGGACCAGCAAUUCCACCCUCAGAAAUGCAUUCUUAGGAAAUAUGCACAAACGGUGAUCUACAGGGAUGUUCAUCACAGCAUCGUUUAUGAGAAUGACAAAUGGAAUAAAUAUGAUGACUCCUCAGAGACGCCCACCACCACGUCCGGCUAAUUUUUUGUAUUUUUAGUAGAGACGGGGUUUCACCGUGUUAGCCAG